GACGAACGCUGGCGGCGUGCUUAACACAUGCAAGUCGAACGGAAAGGCCCUGCUUGCAGGGUACUCGAGUGGCGAACGGGUGAGUAACACGUGGGUGAUCUGCCCUGCACUUCGGGAUAAGCCUGGGAAACUGGGUCUAAUACCGGAUAGGAGCCAUUUUUAGUGUGAUGGUUGGAAAGUUUUUUCGGUGUAGGAUGAGCUCGCGGCCUAUCAGCUUGUUGGUGGGGUAAUGGCCUACCAAGGCGGCGACGGGUAGCCGGCCUGAGAGGGUGGACGGCCACAGUGGGACGGAGUUAAGGCCCAGACUCCUACUGGAGGCAGCAGUGUGGAAGAGUGCACAAUGGGCGCAAGCCUGAUGCAGCGACGGCGCGGGGGGGAUGACGGCCUUCGGGUUGUAAACUCCUUUCGCUAGGGACGAAGCUUUUGUGACGGUUACUAGAUAAGAAGCACCGGCUAACUACGUG
rnacentral:rRNA from 1 species